UGAUUGAGCCAUUUUAUUCCUGAAUGAGUAUAAAUUCAAUUAAAACCAGAACAAUCAAACGAAAAGUAAAAUAGCUCUUUACUCUGAGUAUAAAGUUUAAUUAUAUUAAGAUCUCAAAGUAUAGAUAGAUGAGGAUAUGUCAUAGAUAAGGAUGUGAUAUGUCAACAAAUGUUAUAAGUGCUGCAAUAUCUAAAUUUAUUUUAAAUAUAAUAAAUCAACUUAAAUAACCAUCAAAUAGUCAACUGCUGUGAUACUAGAAUGUAUGUCAGACUAUGACAUAUUUGAACAAAUGUAUAAUACUUAUUUUACUCAAGCAUGCAAAGGCAAGGGGAAUCACCCAUGUCGAGGAGUUGCUCUACUCGUACACAAAGGGCUGAAUUUGAGGAAGCUGAAAGAACCAAACAAUGGAAAUAUGCUAGAGGUUGAGAUUGAUAUCUUUGGUUGCAGUACUGUUGUAAAAUCAGUAUAUGCACACUCGGGGAAAAUCGUUUAAAAAUCUCUUUAAAAAAACUGGGAAAAGAGGAAACAAAAAACUAUGCCAAAACCCACGCAAAUACGGAUAACUUUGAAGCCUGGAUACAAAACAACAGCAUUAUAGACAUUGGAAAAGUUCAAAGAAAUAAAGACCCUACCUAUUUGUACUACAGAAACUUAAAGAAAAAUCAUCAUCAGCACGAAUAGAUUACAUUCUAUGCAAGGGAGAAAUAGCAUGUAUGAUAGAAAACUUAAAAGUAAUUAAAAGGGGUGUAUAUCUGAUCACAAAUUUCUACUUGCAAAUAUUAGAGAGCCAAAAAAGAAAAAAUACCAACGACGUUGGAAAAUGAACAACAAAUGCUAAAAUCGUAUAAUGUAUAUUUAAGAAUAGAGCAAAUAUUGGAAGAAAUACAUGAGGACAUGUAUGAAGGCGAGGAAAUAUCUAAUGCAAUUAAAAAAAUGUACCUAAAAACAAAAUAUGUACUCACGGAGGAAGGGAAAAGAAAGGUGAAAGAAAAAAAAUCAUACAAAGAAAAAAAUAUUGAACUACUACAUUCAGGAGAUGGGAGCUCAGAAAUUGAAAUACGGGACAUUAUGGAGAGAGAAGAUAAGUUGGCAUUUAUAAAAGUAAGCAAAAUAAAUCGAAAUAUUAAUGAAAAAAUACAUCAACAUAAUCAAGAUGUACGAAGAAAAAGGUAGAAGCAACAAGUUAUCCCUUUAUGGUGAAGGAGGACAACUGAGAGACGAUGAAGAUACGCUGCAGAAAAUUGUGCAAGAUUAUUAAAACAAAAUAUUUGAUGAAUCUGAAAUUGCUAAUAAAAAUUUAAAAUUUGAUUUCAAGGUUAAAUUAUAUAUUAAACA
rnacentral:lncRNA from 1 species